AUUGAACGCUGGCGGCAGGCCUAACACAUGCAAGUCGAACGGUAACAGGAAGAAGCUUGCUUCUUUGCUGACGAGUGGCGGACGGGUGAGUAAUGUCUGGGAAACUGCCUGAUGGAGGGGGAUAACUACUGGAAACGGUAGCUAAUACCGCAUAACGUCGCAAGACCAAAAAGGGGGACCUUCGGGCCUCUUGCCAUCGGAUGUGCCCAGAUGGGAUUAGCUAGUAGGUGGGGUAACGGCUCACCUAGGCGACGAUCCCUAGCUGGUCUGAGAGGAUGACCAGCAACACUGGAACUGAGACACGGUCCAGACUCCUACGGGAGGCAGCAGUGGGGAAUAUUGCACAAUGGGCGCAAGCCUGAUGCAGCCAUGCCGCGUGUAUGAAGAAGGCCUUCGGGUUGUAAAGUACUUUCAGCGGGGAGGAAGGGAGUAAAGUUAAUACCUUGGCUCAUUGACGUUACCCGCAGAAGAAGCACCGGCUAACUCCGUG
rnacentral:rRNA from 1 species